GUUGGAGGGAGAAAAGGGACAGCACGCCAGGCAAAGACCUGGCAGCUGUGCUCAGCCCUGGACCUUGUUCCUCCUCAGCCCUGAAAAGCCUCACCUGAACCUGUGGCUGGAAGCCCCCGACCUCCUCUUGGCCGAAAUUGACCUCCCCAAACUGGAUGGAGCCCUGGGGCUGUCGCUGGAGAUCGGGGAGAACCGCCUGGUGAUGGGGGGCCCCCAGCAGCUGUAUCAUCUAGACGCUUAUAUCCCGCUGCAGAUCAACUCUCAUGAGAGCAAGGCAGCCUUCCACCGGAAGAGAAAGCAAUUAAUGGUGGCCAUGCCGCUUCUGCCGGUGCCUUCUUGAUCAGGGUGUCUCCUUGUGCUUCUGAGAUGUGGAGAAGAGGCUGCUGGCUUCCCUAAAGUUGAAAUAAAAGAUUUUUGCCUUUG
rnacentral:sRNA from 1 species